rnacentral:rRNA from 2 species
ACGGGUGAGUAACGCGUGGGAAUCUACCUAGUUCUACGGAACAACAGAGGGAAACUUCUGCUAAUACCGUAUACGCCCUACGGGGGAAAGAUUUAUCGGAAUUAGAUGAGCCCGCGUAAGAUUAGCUAGUUGGUGGGGUAAUGGCCUACCAAGGCGACGAUCUUUAGCUGGUCUGAGAGGAUGAUCAGCCACACUGGGACUGAGACACGGCCCAGACUCCUACGGGAGGCAGCAGUGGGGAAUAUUGGACAAUGGGCGCAAGCCUGAUCCAGCCAUGCCGCGUGAGUGAUGAAGGCCUUAGGGUUGUAAAGCUCUUUCAGUGGGGAAGAUAAUGACGGUACCCACAGAAGAAGCCCCGGCUAACUUCGUGCCAGCAGCCGCGGUAAUACGAAGGGGGCUAGCGUUGUUCGGAUUUACUGGGCGUAAAGCGCACGUAGGCGGAUUGGUCAGUUAGAGGUGAAAUCCCGAAGCUCAACUUCGGAACUGCCUUUAAUACUGCCAAUCUAGAGUCCGGAAGAGGUGAGUGGAACUCCUAGUAUAGAGGUGGAAUUCGUAGA